rnacentral:tRNA from 1 species
GCGCCGGUGGUGUAAAGGCGAGCAUCGCUGUCCGGAAAGCAGAAGUUGCGGGUUCGAGUCCCGCCUGGCGUA